rnacentral:lncRNA from 1 species
CGCAGAAAAACGAGGGGUUGCAACUGCCACGCAGCAACUGCCACACAGAAGAAGGAGGGACUGCAACUGCCAUGCAGCAACUGCCACACAGAAAAAGGAGGGGUUGCAACUGCCACGCAGAAAAAGGAGGGGUUGCAACUGCCACGCAGCAACUGCCACGCAGAAAAAGGAGGGGUUGAAAAGGGAGUAGCUUCUGAUAUUCAGUAAGUACGAAUCGGCCUUAGGUUCCCUGCCUCAAGACCCUAUUCUCCUGCCUCACUUUUAGCUAAGGGUUAUUACAAAAGAGUCAGAAAGUUAAGACAAAAUAUGAAAGUUUAUAAAGUAAAAAGAGUUACAGUGAGCUAAGUAUAACUUAUUGAAAACAUUUUUUUAAUUUAGUAUAGCCUAACUGUGUUUAUACAGUCUACAGUAGUAUACAGUAAUAUCCUAGACCUCCACAUUCCCUCGCCACUCACUCACUCACUCACCGACUCACUCAGAGCAACAUCCAGUCCUGGAAGCUCCAUUCACAAAGACAUUGGAUUUAUUAAAAAUGACACCAAAGGUAGGAUAAAAAUUGUUUAAAUGCCUUUUAAUUUUGUGAGGAAUCUAGAAUUCUAUACCUAGCCAUGUUUUCAAUUAAAUGUGAGGGUGGAGUAGGGACAUUUUCAAACCUUACAACAUUUUCUCUCUUGCACAUUUUCUCAGGAAGCUAUUGGAAGAGAUGCUCAAAGAAGAAAAAAUUACCAUAAUCCAAUAAAGAAGAAGACCUGAGAUCCAGGAAGCAGAUGAUCUGAACUGCAGAGAAAGUUCAGGAAAGUUCCCUCAUUCAUGAUGAUGGGAAAUAACAGUAAAUUCUGUACAGCAGUCUUGGACAACAACCAAUCUAAACUGGCACAGUGCAGAGGCAAUCAACAGAGAACAUAAUAUUGAUAGAAUGCCUGACGCUUUUGAUUGUAUUCACAGGAAACAUAAACAAUUGGAAGACAGUUUAUGAAUGAAUUAGUGAUAAGCAUUUUUUUUCAACUUUUAUUUUAGAUUCAAGGGUACAUGUGCAGGUUUGGUGCCUGGGUAUACUGGGUGAUGCUGAGGUUUGUGUUACAAAUGAUCCCAUCAUCCAGGUACUGAGCAUGGUAUCCAGUAGUUAGUUUUUAACCCUUCUCCUGUCUCUCUCCUGGUGGUCCCCAGUUUCUACUGUUGCCAUCUUUAUGUCCAUGAGUAUACAAUGUUUAGCUCCCACUUGUGAGAACAUGCGUAUUUGCCUAUUUAAUUAUUUGUUUAUUUGUUGAGACAUAGUUUCACUCUCUAGCCCGAUCUUGGCUCACUGCAACCUACGCUUCCUGUGUUCAAGCGAUUCUCUUGCCUCGGCCUCCCCAGUAGCUGAGAUUACAGGCACCUACUACCAUGCCUGACUAAUUUUUGUAUUUUAAUAGAGAUAGGGUUGCACCCUGUUGGCCAGGCUGGUUUCAAAUUCCUGAUCUCAAGCGAUCCACUCACCUUGGCCUCCCAAACGGCUGGGAUUACAGGCUUGAGCCACCACGCCCAGCCACUAUUUGCUUUUCUAUUCCUGCAUUAAUUUGCUUAGGAUAAUAGCCCUCAACUUCAUCCAUUUUGCUGCAAAGAAAAUAAUUUUGUUCUUUUUUAGGGCUGCAUAGUAUUCCAUGGUGUAUAUGUACCACAUUUGUUUUAUUUAAUCCACUGUUGAUGGACACCUGGGUUUAUUCUAUGCCUUUGCUACUACAAAUAGGGCUGUGAUGAACAUGCAAAGGCAUGUGUCUCCUUGAGAUAAAUAUUUUAAAAAUACAAUAAAAUCAAAAAAAUUAAUGUCAGGGCUAACAUACAGUUAUUAGAAAAAAAAAUAUUUUGUUAUUAUAGAUAGACACUAGCUUUAACAUAAUAAUAGUUAUGUAAGUAGUCGAAGUUCAUAUGAUCAAAAUUAUUAUUUAGCUGUUUUAAAAGAAUGCAGAUAUAAGAGAUAUACCAUUAAUGGUGAAUAGUUCCAGUAAAAGCAAGCUAAGCUCUCUUUCACAUUCCAUAGAGGGAAUUUAAUAAGCCCUGAAACCGAAAGUUCAAGAAGGAAAAGUGCAAGUCCUACAUGAAUUGAUCAAUGAUUGCCUCUGGAAAUUAUUGGUGUGAAUGGGGAGGCAAAAUUGCUAGUUUGGUUAAUAAGCUAUGUAACUGUUUGAUAAUUCUUCACUUGCAUGUAAACUUCGGUACAAAUAAAAGCUAAUGAAAACAGAGACAGAAUUAUUAAAUCAUCAUAACAUAAAGUUAACAUUUUUCAUCAUUUUUCACUUGUUCAAAGAUCAUAAGAAAUUUUCAUCUUAAUUUUCAAGCAUCAACUAAUGUUUCUACUCUCCCUGAGUACCAUAAAAAGCCUUCUGUGGACAGUCUAAGUGACAAUGACACAUUAGAUUUGGCAAAAAUUACUUUCAGAUGUAAAUCAAUUUGAGAAUGAACUGAUGCUCUGAAACCGGAAUUUACUUGUUGCUCAAAUUUGCCCCAAAAUAAAAUAAUUUUCAAUCAUAGGAGAAUUCACAGGGCCCAGCUCUCCAUUGGUGUUCCAAUCUAUUCUCUGACCUCUAUGCUGUACACAAGAAUCCUCAAUGGUUUUUCUGGAACCCAAGACAGAAAUAAUAUCCCAAAUGAUGCUUGCUCUAAGAGUAUCACUCACCCAGGGGGUUUACCCCCUGCAACUUUCCCUUUUACCAGUUUUGCUACAGAUUUUUAUGAACUUAGUUCCCCAGUCACCAGGGCCACAGAUGUUUGAAAUACUUUUCUGUCUUUUUUUUUAAGUGAUAAACAACUGAAUUCCUAUUCACUUUUACUCCACGAGUGACUUUACAAUACAUUAAAAAAAGAUAAACUGUCAGUAUUCUUUUCUUUAAAAACUGUAAAAUGCCUUUCCACUUAUUUCUUAUACUAUGUUGUCUCUCAGAUAAUACAUUGAUGCAAUUUUGGAUAAUGUUUUAAUGAAGAAGUUGACAGUAAUGCACAUUAAUUAAAAUAUGUAAAAAUCUAUAUUCAUAACACGAC